UCCUACGGGAGGCAGCAGUGGGGAAUAUUGCACAAUGGGCGCAAGCCUGAUGCAGCCAUGCCGCGUGUAUGAAGAAGGCCUUCGGGUUGUAAAGUACUUUCAGCAGUGAGGAAGGUGGGUAUGUUAAUAGCAUAUUCAUUUGACGUUAGCUGCAGAAGAAGCACCGGCUAACUCCGUGCCAGCAGCCGCGGUAAUACGGAGGGUGCGAGCGUUAAUCGGAAUUACUGGGCGUAAAGCGCAUGCAGGUGGUUUGUUAAGUCAGAUGUGAAAGCCCGGGGCUCAACCUCGGAAUUGCAUUUGAAACUGGCAAACUAGAGUACUGUAGAGGGGGUAGAAUUUCAGGUGUAGCGGUGAAAAUGCGUAGAGAUCUGAAGGAAUACCGGUGGCGAAGGCGGCCCCCUGGACAGAUACUGACACUCAGAUGCGAAAGCGUGGGGAGCAAACAGGAUUAGAUACCCCGGUAG
rnacentral:rRNA from 1 species